AAUAAGAUUGUUGUGUGUGCAUAUGUAUAUAUAUAUAUGUGUAUGUAUGUGUGGGCAUAUGAAUAAAUAUAUAUUUUCUUUUUUUUUUAUAGGGGGGGGGGCAUUAAAGUUUAUUUUAAGUAUUCCAGAGACGUACCCAGCCUCACCCCCAAGCCCAGGCGACGGCUACCUCUGAAGAGUAGGAGGAGAUCGAGAAGAUAACGUUUCAACUAUAACCAAGUUCGAAGACAACGCUGGACCCUCGCAACCCAACAAUAUAAUCAUUAGACCUAAUAAAUUUCCGCUGACCCGGGCCCGUUCCCUUGGAUGCCGGUCGCAGCUAGUAUUUUAGAUAUUUAUUUUUCAUCCAUUGGCUUUUUCUCCAAAGUCUGUUUCGACCCAUUGGUCCUCAUUUUUUAUAUUAAUUGGCUUUAAGUCCGCAAUGCUCACGUGGGAGCGGAAGGGGAACAUAUUAUUUUUAAAUCUUUUAUCAUCCCCACCUCAAAAUAUGUCCCUAUCUACUAUCUAGCGAAACCACAGCCAAGGGAACGGGCUUGGAAAAAUCAGCGGGGAAAGAAGACCCUGUUGAGCUUGACUCUAGUCUGACUCUGUGAAGAGACAUGAGAGGUGUAGCAUAAGUGGGAGGCCGUGAACCCUCGCGGUUGUGUCGUGCCGUCAGUGAAAUACCACUACUUUCAUUGUUUCUUUACUUACUCGGUGAAGCGGAAAGCGGACCAUGAGUGUCCACGCUUCUAGCACUAAGUGCAAGGCCCUUCGUUGGCCCGCACGAUCUGUCCGA
rnacentral:ncRNA from 1 species